UACGUAGGGUGCGAGCGUUAAUCGGAAUUACUGGGCGUAAAGCGUGCGCAGGCGGUUUUGUAAGCCAGAUGUGAAAUCCCCGGGCUUAACCUGGGAAUGGCAUUUGGGACUGCAAGGCUCGAGUGCGGCAGAGGAGACUGGAAUUCCUGGUGUAGCAGUGAAAUGCGUAGAUAUUGUGAGGAACACUAGUGGCGAAGGCGAAUCUCUGGACAGUUCCUGACGCUGAGGCACGAAGGCCAGGGGAGCAAACGGG
rnacentral:rRNA from 1 species